GUAAUGUUCUAUUAUAAAAAUGUAUUUGGUAUUCUAUUAUGCCAUUAAAUUUUUUAAAAUUUACUGACACAUAGGCUGUGACCUGCCACUUCAGUAGAGAGGGCUUUGGCACGCAAGCUGCCAGUUCAGUAGAGAGCUUCACGUGGAAAGACUGGUGGCAGACUUUAAGGGGCUGUGACCUGCCAGUUCAGUACAGAGGGCUUCACGCAAGCUGCCAGUUCAGUACAGAGGGCUUCACGCAAGCUGCCAGUUCAGUACAGAGGGCUUCACGCAAGCUGCCAGUUCAGUACAGAGGGCUUCACGCAAGCUGCCAGUUCAGUACAGAGGGCUUCACGCAAGCUGCCAGUUCAGUACAGAGGGCUUCACGCAAGCUGCCAGUUCAGUACAGAGGGCUUCACGCAAGCUGCCAGUUCAGUACAGAGGGCUUCACGCAAGCUGCCAGUUCAGUACAGAGGGCUUCACGCAAGCUGCCAGUUCAGUACAGAGGGCUUCACGCAAGCUGCCAGUUCAGUACAGAGGGCUUCACGCAAGCUGCCAGUUCAGUACAGAGGGCUUCACGCAAGCUGCCAGUUCAGUAGAGAGCUUCACGUGGAAAGACUAUUGAACUGAUCCCGGGCCUGACGGAUUUUCAAUCAACUCCUGUAUAUGUUCAAUGACUUUGUGAAAAUAAUUUGUACAA